GGCUUAGAGUUUGAUCCUGGCUCAGGACGAACGCUGGCGGCGUGCCUAAUACAUGCAAGUCGAACGGUCUUUUCUAUGGAAGCUUGCUUCCACUGAGAAGAUAGUGGCGAACGGGUGAGUAACACGUGGGUAACCUGCCCAUAAGAGGGGGAUAACAUCCGGAAACGGGUGCUAAUACCGCAUAGUUUUCUUGAUCGCAUGAUCGAGAAAGGAAAGACGGCCUUUGUGCUGUCGCUUAUGGAUGGACCCGCGGCGUAUUAGUUAGUUGGUGAGGUAAUGGCUCACCAAGACGAUGAUACGUAGCCGACCUGAGAGGGUGAUCGGCCACAUUGGGACUGAGACACGGCCCAAACUCCUACGGGAGGCAGCAGUAGGGAAUCUUCCGCAAUGGACGAAAGUCUGACGGAGCAACGCCGCGUGAGUGAAGAARGGUUUUCGGAUCGUAAAACUCUGUUGUCAGAGAAGAACAAGUCGGAGAGUAACUGCUCCGGCCUUGACGGUAUCUGACCAGAAAGCCACGGCUAACUACGUGCCAGCAGCCGCGGUAAUACGUAGGUGGCAAGCGUUGUCCGGAUUUACUGGGCGUAA
rnacentral:rRNA from 1 species